CGUCUGCUUUGCGUGUUGGGCUCUUGGCCGAGUUGAAUUUUGUGGCUGCUUCACAUAAAUUAAUUGUAGCACCAUGGGAUUCAGCUUAGUCCAUAGCCACCUGCUUCCUUGCAUUGUG
rnacentral:precursor_RNA from 12 species